rnacentral:ncRNA from 2 species
AAAGGGAGAAGAGGAGAGAUCCGGCUGGUUCAGCGGACACCGAAGGGGCAAGCCUGGUAAACUGCGAGCCAGGCGAAACUCUCAGGUAAAAGGACUCUCUCCCGGGA